CCUACGGGAGGCAGCAGUAAGGAAUAUUGGUCAAUGGAGGCAACUCUGAACCAGCCAUGCCGCGUGCAGGAAGAAGGCCCUAUGGGUCGUAAACUGCUUUUGUACCAGAGAAAACCACAGUACGUGUACUGUGUUGAUAGUAUGGUAAGAAUAAGCAUCGGCUAACUUCGUGCCAGCAGCCGCGGUAAGACGAAGGAUGCAAGCGUUAUCCGGAUUCAUUGGGUUUAAAGGGUGCGUAGGCGGACUGAUAAGUCAGUGGUGAAAUCUCUCAGCUUAACUGAGAAACUGCCAUUGAUACUGUUAGUCUAGAGUAUAGAUGACGUUGGCGGAAUAUGACAUGUAGUGGUGAAAUACUUAGAUAUGUCAUAGAACACCGAUUGCGAAGGCAGCUAACGAAACUAUAACUGACGCUGAGGCACGAAAGUGCGGGGAUCAAACAGGAUUAGAUACCCUGGUAGUCCGCACCGUAAACGAUGAUUACUCGUUGUUGGCAAUAUGACCGUCAGCGACCAAGCGAAAGCGAUAAGUAAUCCACCUGGGGAGUACGCCGGCAAACGGUGAAACUCAAAGAUAGUAGACGAGAGAGAGCGACGACGGACGACGACGGAGGGAGGAG
rnacentral:rRNA from 1 species